rnacentral:ribozyme from 1 species
GCAAUAUGGACAGCGUCGUUUCCUUCAGUCAGGGUCAUGGGGCAUGGGAGUAAAGUAGAGUAAAGCAAAGCGUGUUCGUGAGCCUCUUUUUGAUUUCAUUGGAAAAAUAGGCGGUUAGGCAGAAUGGGAGGGAAAGAAAAGCUUGUUAGGAGACUCCAUGGAAAAGGGAAUGGAGAAGAA